rnacentral:rRNA from 1 species
AGCAGCCGCGGUAAUUCCAGCUCCAAUAGCGUAUAUUAAAGUUGUUGCAGUUAAAAAGCUCGUAGUUGAACUUCGGGAUCAAUGGAUCGGUCGUGCCCUCGGUAUGUACUGGUUUUAUUGGUUCUCACCUUCUAAUGAACCAUAAUGUCAUUCAUUUAAUGUUAUGGGGAAUUAGGACUGUUACCUUGAAAAAAUUAGAGUGUUUAAAGCAGGCUAACGCUUGAAUACAUUAGCAUGGAAUAAUGAAAUAGGACGUUUGAUUCUAUUUUGUUGGUUUCUAGGAUCGACGUAAUGAUUAAUAGGGAUAGUUGGGGGCAUUAGUAUUCAAUUGUCAGAGGUGAAAUUCUUGGAUUUAUUGAAGACUAACUACUGCGAAAGCAUUUGCCAAGGAUGUUUUCAUUAAUCAAGAACGAAAGUUAGGGGAUCGAAGACGAUCAGAUACCGUCGUAGUCUUAACCAUAAACUAUGCCGACUAGGGAUCGGAUGAUGUUAUUUUUUAAUGACUCAUUCGGCGCUUACG